rnacentral:lncRNA from 1 species
GCCAUGCCUUUGGCAUGUGGAAUUUCCUAGGCCAGGGAUCGAACCUGUACCACAGCAGUGAUAUGAGACACUGCAGUGGCAAUUCUGGGUUGUUAACCCACUGUACCACCAGGGAACACCCUAAUUUUUUUUAAAUCUUCACCAUUAAGUGAGUCUUUUUAGGGUAAUACCAUAUUUUAUUUGCCUUUGAGACUCUGAUAUUUAGAUAAUGAAUGGAUAAAUGAAUGAAUGAACACUAGUAAGUUAAUUCAUCUUAAAGUCUGUUUAUGACCUGGUUCUGGUUGUACCUAUGCAAGACUGAAUUGAACUGAUUAAAUUCCGAGCCUUAAUUUCUUCUUUUUGUGAAGAUAAUGCUAUUCAUUUUUCCUUAUUUGUCGUUGUGAGGAUCAAGUGAAAUAAUGCAGGUAAAAGUCCAUAUCAUCAGUGAGGUCUUACAGAACCCUAUUGGCAACUCACUGAGCUGGGCAUAAAGAAUACAAAGAAGAACAAAAUAUAUUCCUGCCAUUGAGGAACUUAGAUCUGUCAUGAAGGUCAAGGAAACAGGAGAGGGAAUUGUUUCCUUCAGCCGUGAAGAGGAAGACAUUUAAAGAGAGAUACAGAGAAUGGCAUUUGAGUUGGACCAUAAAGACAGAUGAAGCACUUGCUUGAUUUUGAAAUGAUGAAAUUAAUCAAGUUAGAAGAAACAAAAAUGCUAUGGGAGUACAGGGAAAGAAGUACUAGAUUUUGUCCAGGGGAGUGAGAUGAAGAAAGCUUCACAGAAGAGAUGAUAUGUAGAAAGACAUAAUAUCUUCCCACACUUCACAGCCCUGGCAAGAAAAUGGAAAUUUUAGGCAGACACCAGACCAGAUGACUAUGCUAGUUUGGCUACAGCUUAAGACUGCAGCCUCCCAAAGGAGGGUGUUUCUUACCCCCACCUGAGGCAUGAGCUUAGUUUAAUAGCUGCUGAGGCCAAGAAGGGCGUGAAGGAUGACUGAAUGACAGAUGGGACAAAGUCGCAUGAGAAGUGAUGUCAGCAUCGGCUGAAGGUUGAAGAACAACGCAAUUGCCAAAAGGAAAUCUGAGAGCAAGGACCAGGAGUCAGAAAUGGAUGGAUGCCAUGGUGUCAACACAGGGGCAGGGCAAGUUUCCAAAGGCAAAAGCCCAGUAGUCCAGCUGGGUUUGAAAGCUCUGGGUGAGUACCAUCAAGAACAAGAUUUAAAAUGAAGACUUAAUUGGCCAAAAAGGGAAUCAAUGAGGGUCAAAUUGCUUUGACAGUGUAAGGCAGGGCCUGCUGUUAUUUCUAGGAGCCCAGAGAGGAUUCUUGGCAAAAAACCUUCAGCUUUAUCUCCUGGUAGAUGGAAUUGCUCUCUACUCCAGGGCAGAAAGCACUACCCACUCUAUUUGCUCAAGUUUGUGUCAGUUCUGUGCAAUUAUGUUAAAAGCAGAAAAUAAAGAGUCUAGAACACCAGAAUGAGGGGUUUGUUCAUGAUUGGGAGGGUAAUGGGGAGCCACCAUGGAAAGAUUACCAGGAGGGAGGCCACGUGAUUGAAGCUGAAUGUUAAGAAAACCAGCAAGAAAGGGUAAUGGCACAGCUAGCAAUGUUUUCAACAAGUGGAACUUAAGUUAUAAGAUGUCUAAGUUGGAGACUGUUUCAUUAUUCACUUAUGAAGAAUAGGUAAUCAAUGUGGCAAGUAUUCAUUUAUUAAAUCUGUGUUAUCUGACUUGCAAUACAGCUAGAUAGUGCCAUUUUAUGGAUCAACUUUUAUCAUCACCAGGCUCACCAGUUUGUUAAUCUGUGUGUGUGAAUGGUGGUGUCAUGUAUUGAUAUAAAGAAAAUCAGAAUGAGCAUUUUUGUAAGUUUCUACAAGUGCUCUCUGAAUGUAAUGCAGGCAGGUUUAUAGACAAAAUGUGGUCAUAUAUGCUGCUUAUUCUUGCGAUGGUUUAGAGUCAGUUUUAAACCUAUGGGAAAAAUUUUAUUCUACCUGUAUAUGCCAGUUUCUGAAAUCCCUCUAGGUCCUCUGUGGGAAUAUUCCUUAAUUUUUUGCAUUUCUCUUCCCUGGGAAGGGCUCUCCAAUCCAUUGUUCUGCCAUGGGCUUUGUUGCCUCUCUUUGCAUGUUUGUUUUUGUUUCUUUUUCUCAUUAUCCUCCUUGGCCCCAUCUGAAGAGAGCAUUGGAAAAAUAGUCUCUUCUUAGCUAGAUACAUUCUCAGCCUACUAACUGCCUGUGGAAACUGAACUGACUGAAGGAUAAUUUUCUGUUUGGAAAAAGACUUUUAGUCCAGACUCAUGCUUUCUAUAGCUAUAAACUCUUAAAAUGACUGGCUUUUUGGCUAUUAAAUUCCCCUUAGCUCCAUGUACUACUACUACCUGUGGUUCUUUGUUCUUUUCUAGACAUACUUCUUAGAUUUUAUAUAUAAUAGUAUAUAUAAAACAAAUCCAAGAAAUGUACAUUUAUGCAUAUAUACAUACAUAUAUGUAUAUGUGUUAUAUGUAUGAUGCUCUUUUCUGUUUGUUUCUUCUCCUCCUCUUUUUUGAUGUAUACUGAGUACCUUGGAAGUAUCAUACUUUGGUGGGAGAGCUGCCAUUUUAGUCAUUUUGUCCAAUUUUUAAGAAUUUCUUGGGCACCACCUUUAUCUAUGCAAAAGUUUUAAAAAUGAAUAAGUAUGCCCUUGUUUUGAUUCUUGCCACAAAGCCAAGUUUUUAAUCAGCCUUUAUCCUCAAAGCAUUGCUUAAUUUUAUUUUUUUCCUAUUUAGGCUUGAGAAGUAUAGUUGUCCUUCCAUUUAUAUAAGAGUCUAAAACUGUGGCCUCCCUUCCUGACCCUCUCUCCUAUUUGCAGAUCAAUCUGCUCUGCUCUUUUCUAAGACUGUGUCUUUCUUGUAUCUUGCCAUGUGCAGACAACAGAUUAACGACGACACUGACACUCUCUUCUCUACCUUGUCCUAGGGCUUCAAGUUUAUCAGAUACCCUGUCUACUUUCUAGGCUAUUUCACUUGUUCAUGAACUGCUGUCCUUCCACCCCGAAAUGUAAAUAAAUUUCCUCACUAUCAGUCACCUAGGCAGUGGCAUACAGUAGAGCUUAUUUGGUACACCUUAUCCCAUUUUUAGGUACUAAAUCCAGUAGGAUUGGGGAUAAACUAGGUUAUGUUUCAGUAACUAAUUGCAGUUUUAGUGACCUAUAAUAACAAGGGCUUAUUUUGAAAAAGAAGUCAGAGAACUUAUCAUUAUUGAGUAUAUAAUAUGUCCUAGGUGCGCUGUCAUGAUCUUUACAUGCACUGUCUCAUUUUAUCUUCAGGAAGUGUUCAUGAGUGUCUUCAUAGUCUAUACAGUGAAAAGGAAGUAUAGAGGGAUUAAGUCAUUGUUCAAGAACAUACACUAUUCAGUGGUACUGAGAUUCAAAUCUGGGUUUAUCAGACUCAAAAUCUUUUGCUUUUUUUGACUACCUUAAAGAAACUAAGAAGUAUAUUCUGCCUAAAAAUAAAGCCAGGCUGGGCACAAUUGUUAUUGGCCACAGCUAUUACAUAUAAGAGAUAUUCUAAAAAUCUGAUAUAUGCUGAUUAAAUUUCUGUUUUAUUUGUUUAUCUUGUAGUAAUGAAAGGCAUGACUCAGUAUCCACUUUUGAAGAUCAUAUUAAAGUACUCUGUAAAUUUCCUCUUUUUAAAAAUUAAGGGAUUUAUGAAAGCUGCUUUGUGUCUUUUCUUUUUUCCUUUGAAGCAUAUGCCUACAAAAUGGAAGGCAAAUAUAGACUUGCUUUUCAUAACAUAAAAAAAAAAUCUAGAAAGUGGUAGUAAAGUAAUAAAAGAACAUUACUAUCUGGGAAGGGACAUUGAUUGCACAGAAAAAAAUGCUCACAAGAAAAUUAAAACAUAUAAAUGAUAAAUAAAAUCUGAAUGAGAUUGGCAGUUGAAUUGCAGAGAAAAAUGAAAAUGGCAUCUCCUUUUUAGAUCUCUCAGUUUAACCAUUUCAAUUCUACUUUAGAUAUUUUAAUCAAGAACUCUACAAAACAGACAAGAACUUAAAUAGAACUCUCUGUGUAAGGGAACUGUGCUGACUGGAAGACAGGAAACUAAAUGACCCAUUCAGAUGCAUUCCAUGCACUCAACAUUGUGACUCAAAGUGGUUAAUAUCUGAUGGCUGUUCUUGGGCUCAGAUCCAAUCAGCUGCUGGUCACACUCUCUCCAUCUCUCUGCUGAUCACGUGUCUACACCACUUCCUGCUGAAAUUAGCAAAGAUAGCUCUGGUGAAGAAAAUACAUUUUAGACGAAGCUGAAUUUCAAACCAUGUUUUUCAAAUCUAGACCUGGUUUCAUUUAGUACAAAUGUAGGACAAAAAAAAGCUACACUGUUAACUUGGUGAGAAAUAGACUUUCUUUGUUCAUAAGCGUAAUCAAAGCAGUGCUUUUCCAUAAUUUGCCUAACCUAAUUUUAGGUUUAAAUGAACCUUAAAUAUACUUCAUUGAAAACAUGGCCUGCCAACACAAGCUGUUUGUUUCUUCCUCCGAAUUGCUGUAUCAUUUUUUGUGUAAACUGUGUUCAUGAGCCUAGCCUCUGUUAUCUUUGAAUAAAACUUGCCAUUUGUACAAAUUGCACAAUUUACAAAAUGCUUUCCCAUCCCCAAAAUACAUUUUUGAAUCCAUAAAAAUCCUACAAAUGUAUCAAUAACCCUAUAUUACAGUUAAGGAAAUAUAGACUGAGAUUUGAGCAAUCACCUGUACCAGUUCUUAAAACCAGAAGAAACGGGACCGUUCUAAUGCAAAAUCUGAUAUUUUCACUAAAAUUACUCUCUCACUUGUAUUGCUGGAUAACUAUAACCACAUAGAUAUUGACCACUAACAGGGUUAAGAGCUUCUUGAGUAAACUAUGUCUUGUAUAAUUUUUUAAAAGCGACCCUUAUAAGAAUGUCCUACGCAGGAUAGUCAACCAAAAAAAGUCUUUUGUAGGUGAUGAUGGUGAUCAGUUCCAAGAAUUUUCUUCCAAAGUAGGCUUAGAAAAAUCUUAGCCAGCUUUUAAAUACAGUCUAUCAAUUGUAUAUAAAAUACAGUCAGCUUACACUCCUAUAGAAAUUCUUGCUAUUAAGAACCCAAAUUGUUUGCUUGCUUAGUCAAUCUUCAGGUUUUAUGCUGUAGGUUAAAAUAAGUCAAGAAGGCAGGAUCGAGAUGGCAGAGGAGUAAGACAUGGCACUCACUUUUUUCCACAAACACAUCAAAAAAAAGAGAGAAAAUCUACAUGUAGAAAGAUUCACACAGAACAUCUACUGAAUGAUGGCGAAAAACCAUACAACUCCAAAAAGGGCAAGAAACCCUCCACAUAACUGGGUAGAACAAAAGGGGAAUAAAAAAAGAGUGAGAGGGAAAGGAAUCAGGAUGGGACUAGCACUCCUGAGAGGGAGCUGUGAAAGAGGAAAGGAACCCACACCUUGGGAGGCCAUGUAACUGAUAAGGAGAUCAGCCAAGACAGAGGGACCCUGAAGCCUCGGAGAAAAGCACAGCAACUGGAUUAAGGAGGGAAAAGCAGGGAGAGAGCCACACAGACCAUAAGUACCACCUCCCAGAACACUGCAGCCUGAAAUGCUCAGAAGAGGCCUAGGGGCUGAGACUCAUGCUCUAGAGGUCAGUUCCUGGGAAAGGACUAGGGUUGGCUGUGUGGAGACAGCCUGAAGAGCAAGGGAGUGGUGCACCAAGGCUUAGGGAGGGGAGUGCCACAGCUGAGGGAACGCAGGAGGAGGUCUGGGCCUGCAGGAGAAGAAAGGCACUAUUGUUGAAGAGGUCAAGAGGACAUACAUAUACACAAUGGAAUACUACUCAGCCAUUAAAAAGGACAGAAUAAUGCCAUUUGCAGCAACAUGGAUGGAACUAGAGAUUCUCAUACUAAGUCAGAAGAAGAAAGACAAAUACCAUAUGAUGUCAUUUAUAUAUGGAAUCUAAUAUAUGGCACAAAUGAAGCUAUCUCCAGAAAUGAAACAAACUCAUGGGCAGGAAGAACAGACUUGUGGUUAUGGCAGAGAGAGGGAAGUGGGAUGGUCUUCAAUGUUGGGGUUGGUUGAUGCAAACUAUUGUUUUAGGAGUGGAUAAGCAAUGAGAUCUUUCUGUAUAGCACAAGGAACUAUAUUUUAUCACUUGUGAUGGAAUAUGAUAGAGGAUAAUGUGAGAAAAUGAACUUAUAUAUAUUGUGUAUGACUGGGUCACUUUCCUGUAAAGCAGAAAUUGACAAACACUGUAAAUCAACUAUAAUAAAAAAUUUAAAGAACACAAAAAAUAACAAAAAUAAAAUUCAAUUUUUUAGAUCUAUUCCUUUUUUAAUUUACCAAGAAAAUUAAUUUUCUGUGUAGCAACAGAGAAGCUAUCAAAGCCAAAUUUAAGCACUCCAUUGAAACAUUUAAUAUAAG